UAGGGAAUCUUCCGCAAUGGCCGCAAGUCUGACGGAGCAACGCCGCGUGAGUGAAGAAGGAUUUCGGUUCGUAAAACUCUGUUGUUAGAGAAGAACAGCGCAUAGAGUAACUGUUAUGCGUGUGACGGUAUCUAACCAGAAAGCCACGGCUAACUACGUGCCAGCAGCCGCGGUAAUACGUAGGUGGCAAGCGUUGUCCGGAUUUAUUGGGCGUAAAGCGAGCGCAGGCGGUCAAUUAAGUCUGAUGUGAAAGCCCCCGGCUCAACCGGGGAGGGUCAUUGGAAACUGGUUGACUUGAGUGCAGAAGAGGAGAGGGGAAUUCCAUGUGUAGCGGUGAAAUGCGUAGAUAUAUGGAGGAACACCAGUGGCGAAGGCGACUCUCUGGUCUGUAACUGACGCUGAGGCUCGAAAGCGUGGGUAGCAAACAGG
rnacentral:rRNA from 1 species